GGGGUGGCUAAGUAGUAGGACAUCUGUUUGGCAUGCAGACGGUCCCAGGUUCAAUCCCUGGCAUCUCCU
rnacentral:tRNA from 1 species